rnacentral:misc_RNA from 1 species
UCUCUGUCCCUACCUUCUUUUUGUCUUUGUUUAUAGCAUUUCUUUACAACCCUUCUGUGAUAUGUUCACGUUUUCCUUGUUUGCGAUCUUGAGCUUUCAGGUCUUUUUCUUUUUUGUUUGUAGGUUGCUUAUAAUAGUCAUUUGAAGAAGUGGAUUGCAAGUUUUUUUAGUGGUUCUUUUGAUACUAAUAAUUCAUUAUUGCUAAUUAUUGCAGUUGCAAGUUUUAAUCAUAUUGGGAUUAUGCUUUUGUAGUUGUUUUCCUUUUCUUUAUUUGAUCAGUUUAUGAUUUGCCUUUUUCAGCAGCUAUCAUUUGCCAUCGGAUACUCAAGGCUUAGGCUUGAAAUUCCAAUCUAGAAAGUAGCAUUUAAUACUCUGAUUUUUGGGAAUUGAAGUAUAUUUUUGGGAAUUUAGAAGCCAAUCUAGCACGGUGGAAAAUUAAUCUAAGACAAGCAAUUGUGGACUUGAAUUCAAUUUUACUUUUGAAACCCAAAAGGGGAAUCAGUUGGGGGUUGGUCUUUGAGGAUUCUGUAGCUAUGGGGGAUUGUGGCUCUGUGAUUCCAGAGUUGGAAAGAGAAGAAGACUUGAUUGCUGCGGCAAAACACAUUGCAAGGGCAUUGGGAUCUAAAAAGAACCUCACUGAUGAUGCCAAGAAAAUUUUGGCA